UAAAAUAAUAUUCAAAAAGUGCAAAAUAAGGGAGCGAAAUUCAAACUUCCAAAACGCGCCACCAUUGGUCGAACGAAAUGUGACGUCAUCUGAUACGACAUUGCAUUCAUCAGCGUCGAAACUCAUACUGUUUUACAAGUUUUUGUGAAGAAAAAUAAGUAAUUUAAACGUGUAUUCUUGUGUGAGGUUUAGUUUAUAUUUGUAGUGAAUUUAGGACGAUGACUGAAGCUGGUUUUGUGAAAGCACAAUCCGACAGUCUACCGAAAAUAGAUUUAUGAUGACAGCAUAUUUUGCAUCUAUUCCCGAUUUUACAAGCGCAGAGAUCAGAGGAGUAAAAGCUGCAAGCUAAUUAUUAUGUAUGAACGAGAAUCUUACGGUGAUUCAGCAGUUGAAUACGUCCAAGUAAAACGAGGAGACGUAUGUGUUGUUAAGGCAUAAAAAUUUCGUAAAUCCACAACAGGAAUAAAGUUUUUAUAGAAAGUUAUAGCUACUGAACAUUUCUUAUACGUUAGGUUAAUUUUAAACCGAAUUUUCUAAUGUUCAAUAGCUAAUGCAAAACUUACUUUUUAUUAAUUCACAAACUUACUGUAAUAAAUAAAGUUUACUAACGUUUAAAUGGUCUUCACAACAAUAUAAA